GUAAUCUUUCAAUUCAUUUAUUGUUUACUGAGGUGAUAACUAUUUCAUAAUUUGUGUGUAACUUUAAUUUGUGUGUAAAUGUGUUACUUUUACUGUAGUUUUCAAAUGGCUGUGUAUAUAUAAGUAUAUGUCUCUUUUAGGUUGACCACCCUAUAUAUGAGAGCCUAAGGAGUUGUUUUCCCUCUGUCCCCUUUUGAGGACCUCCUUUGUCUCCUCCAUCAUUCACUGGGCCACUUUUGGGUUCCUGAGCUCAUUUCAUGUGGUUUUCCUGACCUGCUAGAAGUUCUUCUAUGAUGCUUGAGUCAUCCAUCAUAUCUGAGAGCUUCGUCUUGACUUUGUCAUGAAUUUGGUGAGGAGCGGAGCUGGCUGGCUGCGGACGAGGAAGUAGGGCAAUACAUACUUGUGCACAUACACAUAUAUGAGAAUGCAUAUCUAUUCAGACCUGUAACCCAUGUCUUAGACUUUUUCACACAGCUAUAUAUUUUUUUUUUUCUCACCGUUGAGCGAGUGAGUUUCAGCUCUAAUGCUGCUACUGUCUGUAAUAUGUUUCUAUUUAGAUUAUUUGUCAGGAUAUUUUUUUGUUAUUAUUGUCCGAGUCUGGUUUUAACUAAUGCUGGGCUUACAGACUAAAAACUGAAAGGGUAGCAUAAAGGUUCUUCCCGUUAGUCUCGUCCCACCCCUAGUCAUGACAUAACUUCUGUUAUGAUUUGACACUAUAAUGAAUAAAGAUUGAUUGAUUGAUUGCUAUAGCUGUCAAUUUUAGUCCUUGAGUUCAUAGUUAAGUGCUUUAUUUGUUAACUGCUAUCAAGGAAUAUGACUCUUCUUUGUAGUAUGCAUGAGAGAAGAUGCCGCGAGAUUAGUGGACUUCUAUGUAGUGUCCGCUGAUAAUGUAGUGGGCUGGUCUGGACAGAAAAUGCCAGGGCUGAAUUUUUGUCCCAGUCCA